UCCUACGGGGGGCAGCAGUGGGGGAUAUUGCACAAUGGGGGAACCCUGAUGCAGCGACGCCGCGUGGGUGAAGGAGUAUUUCGGUAUGUAAAGCCCUAUCGGCAGGGAAGAAGCAAGACGGUACCUGACUAAGAAGCCCCGGCUAACUAAGUGCCAGCAGCCGCGGUAAUACGUAGGGGGCGAGCGUUAUCCGGAUUCACUGGGGGUAAAGGGAGCGUAGACGGCCAUGCAAGCCAGGGGGGAAAGGCCGGGGCCCAAACCCGGGCAUGCCC
rnacentral:rRNA from 1 species